rnacentral:tRNA from 1 species
GAGAGUAGAGUGCAUGGUAGAGCACGUGCCUAGGAUGCAUGAGGUCCUGGGUUCAAUUCCCAGUACCUCCA